CAGCUCCUCCAUGAUGUCCACAUACUCC
rnacentral:piRNA from 1 species